rnacentral:pre_miRNA from 1 species
UCUUAUGGACACACAAAGAAAGUGGUUUCUUGAGAUAGAAUCUACUCCUGGUGAAAGUGCUCUGAA